CCUCACUGCUGGCUAAGCAGGAAGAAUGGCUAAAGAAGAAAGAUAAAAUCAAUUCUGGGAAAUAUCCUGUGGGGCUUGGAAGAGCAAUCAGACAUAAUACAACUGAACGGUGUCUGUGCUUUUGAACUCUCCACGGAGACAUGACUAUGGAGAUUGCCAUGAUGAACAUUUCCACUUCACAGUGUAUCACCAUAUCACUGCACAAUUACGAAAGAUUAUUUCAACAAGUCAUCUGAACUUUCUGCAGCAAAGAGCUAUUUCACCCUUGAUCUCAUUCCGAACACAGCAACAGCAUUCUGAAAGGAAUUUCCUUUAAUCGGGUUUUAUUAACUGACUGACUCCUCUUCUCUUUUAACUAUUCUGUCUAGCAGUUUUGUUAUCUGCUUGAUGGAGCCAGAUGGAUAACACAAUUGUAAUAUCCUUUUAAGGAAAAUCACUUUGUUGUAAUAGGUCUUCAGUCUUUUUGGUGCAUUUUUGUUGGUGGUGUUCUACAUGUAAUUAUGUUAAUAAAAUAAAUAAGCAAAG
rnacentral:lncRNA from 11 species